rnacentral:rRNA from 1 species
GACGAACGCUGGCGGCGUGCUUAACACAUGCAAGUCGAACGGAAAGGCCCUGCUUUUGUGGGGUGCUCGAGUGGCGAACGGGUGAGUAACACGUGAGUAACCUGCCCUUUACUUUGGGAUAACUUCAGGAAACUGGGGCUAAUACCGGAUAGUAGCUCCUGCUGCAUGGUGGGGGUUGGAAAGUUUCGGCGGUUGGGGAUGGACUCGCGGCUUAUCAGCUUGUUGGUGGGGUAGUGGCUUACCAAGGCUUUGACGGGUAGCCGGCCUGAGAGGGUGACCGGCCACAUUGGGACUGAGAUACGGCCAAGACUCAUACGGGAGGAAGCAGUGGGGAAUAUUGCACAAUGGGCGGAAGCCUGAUGCAGCAACGCCGCGUGCGGGAUGACGGCCUUCGGGUUGUAAACCGCUUUCGCCUGUGACGAAGCGUGAGUGACGGUAAUGGGUAAAGAAGCACCGGCUAACUACGUG